AACUGUUCGUCUUAUAUAAUUUUUUUUUAUAAUUAGUAUUUUUAUUGUUGUUAGAUGAUAAAAUAUGAUUAAUACCUUAUACGUGACUUAUCUUUUUAAACUUUUCAUAAUUUUUUUAAAUAAGACGAACGGUU
rnacentral:pre_miRNA from 1 species